UUGUUGCAGUUAAAAAGCUCGUAGUUGGACUUUAGGCAAGGCGGCCUGGUCACCCUCUGGGUGUACUGGGAUCGCUGCGCCUCACCUUCGGGGAGCUAGUCGUGCUUCGGUGCGCUAGGGAACCGAGCCUUACCUUGAGGAAAUUAGAGUGUUUAAAGCAGGCUUAUGCUUGAAUACGUUAGCAUGGAAUAACAUGAUAGGACUUUGGUUCUAUUUUGUUGGUUUGAGGACCAAAGUAAUGAUUAAUAGGGACAGUUGGGGGCAUUAGUAUUCAAUAGUCAGAGGUGAAAUUCUUGGAUUUAUUGAAGACUAACUAAUGCGAAAGCAUUUGCCAAGGAUGUUUUCAUUAAUCAAGAACGAAAGUUAGGGGAUCGAAGACGAUUAGAUACCGUCGUAGUCUUAACCAUAAACUAUGCCGACUAGGGAUCGGUGGAAGUCGAUUUUGACUCCAUCGGCACCUUACGAGAAAUCAAAGUUUUUGGGUUCUGGGGGGAGUAUGGUCGCAAGGCUGAAACUUAAAGGAAUUGACGGAAGGGCACCACCAGGAGUGGAGCCUGCGGCUUAAUUUGACUCAACACGGGAGAACUCACCAGGUCCGGACAUGGGAAGGAUUGACAGAUUGAGAGCUCU
rnacentral:rRNA from 1 species